UACGAAGGGGGCUAGCGUUGCUCGGAAUUACUGGGCGUAAAGGGCGCGUAGGCGGACAUUUAAGUCAGGGGUGAAAUCCCAGAGCUCAACUCUGGAACUGCCUUUGGUACUGGGUGUCUUGAGUGUGAGAGAGGUAUGUGGAACUCCGAGUGUAGAGGUGAAAUUCGUAGAUAUUCGGAAGAACACCAGUGGCGAAGGCGACAUACUGGCUCAUUACUGACGCUGAGGCGCGAAAGCGUGGGGAGCAAACAGG
rnacentral:rRNA from 1 species